UACGAAGGGGGCUAGCGUUGUUCGGAAUUACUGGGCGUAAAGCGUGCGCAGGCGGUUUUCCAAGUCAGUGGUGAAAGCCCGGAGCUCAACUCCGGAACUGCCAUUGAAACUGUGAAACUAGAGUACGAGAGAGGUGAGUGGAAUUCCCAGUGUAGAGGUGAAAUUCGUAGAUAUCAAGAGGAACACCUGAGGUGAAGACGGGUUGCUGGGCCGACACUGACGCUGAUGCGCGAAAGCCAGGGGAGCAAACGGG
rnacentral:rRNA from 1 species